UCGGGUGUGGUGCGCGGCGCACGGCGCUUCCUGAUGUGGAUUCAAAGGGAAAAUGGUCAGCCGCAAGACGGGGUUCGACUCCCCGCGCCCGAA